UCAAACAAGAUUUUUAACUGGCCUGACUGGUAACUGCUCAGUCAGUUGUUUUGGAUGGCUGACCUUCCUGUAACAGUUAAAAAGACUGACCUAAGCAGAAUACGGACACAGUGGCCCUGGAAUUCCCAGUGACCACCGCUCUAGAGCACUUAGACAAACACUCACGACUGCCGUCGAUGAUGGUUGAAGUGGUUGGCAGCGAGAUCUCCUGGAACCGGGGUGACACAAUGGCAACAGGGGGGCGAUUCUUUCGGGGCUCUGCAAGAAAGUGACCCAGAAAGGAGUCGGGAGAGAAAAGCAACUGUGUAAACACAAUUCUAAGAGAAAGCAACAAUGAAGUCACCACAGUGCACUAUCAUCCCAACAGUGAAGUCACCAUUGUGCACCAUCAUCCCAACAAGCCCAUUUUAGUGUUCGUCCAUCUCCUCUAACCAUUGACCAUAUACAAAAAAUAGUUUUA